AAAGAGGGAUCAUGGUAGCGUGAAUGCGUAGAGAUAUGAGACAUCAGUGGCGAGCGACUUCUGUCUGUACUGACACUGAGCGCGAAAGCGUGGGGAGCAAACAGGAUUAGAUACCUGGUAGUCACGCCGUAAACGAUGAGUGCUAAGUGUUAGAGGGUUUCCGCCCUUUAGUGCUGAAGUUAACGCAUUAAGCACUCCGCCUGGGGAGUACGGCCGCAAGGCUGAAACUCAAAGGAAUUGACGGGGGCCCGCACAAGCGGUGGAGCAUGUGGUUUAAUUUGAAGCAACGCGAAGAACCUUACCAGGUCUUGACAUCCUUUGACAACCCUAGAGAUAGGGCUUCUCCUUCGGGAGCAGAGUGACAGGUGGUGCAUGGUUGUCGUCAGCUCGUGUCGUGAGAUGUUGGGUUAAGUCCCGCAACGAGCGCAACCCUUGAUUUUAGUUGCCAUCAUUUAGUUGGGCACUUUAAGGUGACUGCCGGUGACAAACCGGAGGAAGGUGGGGAUGACGUCAAAUCAUCAUGCCCCUUAUGACCUGGGCUACACACGUGGUACAAUGGACGGUACAAAGAGCUGCAAGACCGCGAGGUGGAGCUAAUUUCAUAAAACCGUUUUCAGUUCGGAUUGUAGGCUGCAACUUGCCUACAUGAAGCUGGAAUCGCUAGUAAUCGCGGAUCAGCAUGCCGCGGUGAAUACGUUCCCGGGCCUUGUACACACCGCCCGUCACACCACGAGAGUUUGUAACACCCGAAGUCGGUGGGGUAACCUUUUGGAGCCAGCCGUGAGAAGGUGGACAGAUGAUGGGGGAAG
rnacentral:rRNA from 1 species